GCAAGUCGAACGGUAACAGGAAGCAGCUUGCUGCUUUGCUGACGAGUGGCGGACGGGUGAGUAAUGUCUGGGAAACUGCCUGAUGGAGGGGGAUAACUACUGGAAACGGUAGCUAAUACCGCAUAACGUCGCAAGACCAAAGAGGGGGACCUUCGGGCCUCUUGCCAUCGGAUGUGCCCAGAUGGGAUUAGCUAGUAGGUGGGGUAACGGCUCACCUAGGCGACGAUCCCUAGCUGGUCUGAGAGGAUGACCAGCCACACUGGAACUGAGACACGGUCCAGACUCCUACGGGAGGCAGCAGUGGGGAAUAUUGCACAAUGGGCGCAAGCCUGAUGCAGCCAUGCCGCGUGUAUGAAGAAGGCCUCGGGUUGUAAAGUACUUUCAGCGGGGAGGAAGGCGAUAAGGUUAAUAACCUUGCCGAUUGACGUUACCCGCAGAAGAAGCACCGGCUAACUCCGUGCCAGCAGCCGCGGUAAUACGGAGGGUGCAAGCGUUAAUCGGAAUUACUGGGCGUAAAGCGCACGCAGGCGGUCUGUCAAGUCGGAUGUGAAAUCCCCGGGCUCAACCUGGGAACUGCAUUCGAAACUGGCAGGCUAGAGUCUUGUAGAGGGGGGUAGAAUUCCAGGUGUAGCGGUGAAAUGCGUAGAGAUCUGGAGGAAUACCGGUGGCGAAGGCGGCCCCCUGGACAAAGACUGACGCUCAGGUGCGAAAGCGUGGGGAGCAAACAGGAUUAGAUACCCUGGUAGUCCACGCCGUAAACGAUGUCGACUUGGAGGUUGUGCCCUUGAGGCGUGGCUUCCGGAGCUAACGCGUUAAGUCGACCGCCUGGGGAGUACGGCCGCAAGGUUAAAACUCAAAUGAAUUGACGGGGGCCCGCACAAGCGGUGGAGCAUGUGGUUUAAUUCGAUGCAACGCGAAGAACCUUACCUACUCUUGACAUCCAGAGAACUUAGCAGAGAUGCUUUGGUGCCUUCGGGAACUCUGAGACAGGUGCUGCAUGGCUGUCGUCAGCUCGUGUUGUGAAAUGUUGGGUUAAGUCCCGCAACGAGCGCAACCCUUAUCCUUUGUUGCCAGCGGUCCGGCCGGGAACUCAAAGGAGACUGCCAGUGAUAAACUGGAGGAAGGUGGGGAUGACGUCAAGUCAUCAUGGCCCUUACGAGUAGGGCUACACACGUGCUACAAUGGCGCAUACAAAGAGAAGCGACCUCGCGAGAGCAAGCGGACCUCAUAAAGUGCGUCGUAGUCCGGAUUGGAGUCUGCAACUCGACUCCAUGAAGUCGGAAUCGCUAGUAAUCGUGGAUCAGAAUGCCACGGUGAAUACGUUCCCGGGCCUUGUACACACCGCCCGUCACACCAUGGGAGUGGGUUGCAAAAGAAGUAGGUAGCUUAACCUUCGGGAGGGCGCUUACCACUUUGUGAUUCAUGACUGGGGUGAAGUCGUAACAAGGUAACCGUAGGGGAACCUGCGGUUGGAUCACCUCCUUA
rnacentral:rRNA from 2 species